rnacentral:rRNA from 1 species
UGAGUGAAGAAGGCCUUCGGGGUUGUAAAGCUCUUUUGUCAGGGAAGAAACGGCUGAGGUUAAUACCCUCGGCUAAUGACGGUACCUGAAGAAUAAGCACCGGCUAACUACGUGCCAGCAGCCGCGGUAAUACGUAGGGUGCAAGCGUUAAUCGGAAUUACUGGGCGUAAAGCGUGCGCAGGCGGUUUUGUAAGUCUGACGUGAAAGCCCCGGGCUCAACCUGGGAAUUGCGUUGGAGACUGCAAGGCUUGAAUCUGGCAGAGGGGGGUAGAAUUCCACGUGUAGCAGUGAAAUGCGUAGAGAUGUGGAGGAACACCGAUGGCGAAGGCAGCCCCCUGGGUCAAGAUUGACGCUCAUGCACGAAAGCGUGGGGAGCAAACAGGAUUAGAUACCCUGGUAGUCCACGCCCUAAACGAUGUCUACUAGUUGUCGGGUUUUAAUUAACUUGGUAACGCAGCUAACGCGUGAAGUAGACCGCCUGGGGAGUACGGUCGCAAGAUUAAAACUCAAAGGAAUUGACGGGGACCCGCACAAGCGGUGGAUGAUGUGGAUUAAUUCGAUGCAACGCGAAAAACCUU